GUCGGUUUAAAUGUUAGAAUUUUCUUCUUUAAACUUUAAUGUUGUCGUCACUACAUCUGGAAAACCACGUAAGAACAAAUUAAAAGUAUUUAAAAAAGACCAGGUUGUUUAAAAAUCCUAAACGAAUGCUAAAAAUCGUCAAAACAUUCUGGUGUCUGAGCCAGAGUGUCAUCGAAUUGCGAUGUAAUGUAAACAGAAAUUAUAGCAAGUUGAUGUCAGUCAGCUUAGAUGGUCCAAGCCAAAAUUAUAUCGCAUUUGAAGUUUCAAACUGAGUUAAAAAUAGUGG